rnacentral:rRNA from 1 species
UGAGGAAUAUUGGUCAAUGGUCGAGAGACUGAACCAGCCAAGUCGCGUGAAGGAUGACUGCCCUAUGGGUUGUAAACUUCUUUUACAAGGGAAUAAAAUGAGAUACGUGUAUUUUAUUGCAUGUACCUUGGGAAUAAGCAUCGGCUAACUCCGUGCCAGCAGCCGCGGUAAUACGGAGGAUGCGAGCGUUAUCCGGAUUUAUUGGGUUUAAAGGGUGCGUAGGUGGGCUGUUAAGUCAGCGGUGAAAGUUUGUCGCUUAACGAUAAAAUUGCCGUUGAAACUGGUAGUCUUGAGUAUAGACGAAGUAGGCGGAAUGCGUGGUGUAGCGGUGAAAUGCAUAGAGAUCACGCAGAACUCCGAUUGCGAAGGCAGCUUACUAAGGUAUAACUGACACUGAAGCACGAAAGCGUGGGUAUCAAACAGG